rnacentral:ribozyme from 1 species
UGCCCAGCAACUCCUAUCCCUACCUCCUCGUGGUACCGGCCGGAAACUAUGAGUAACCUUAGGGAAGAUCGAGUAACCAACCCCGGUGGGAACUUUGGUCGUAGGCUGAUAGGGAAGG